CACAAAGCUCCCUCCUUAUUUUUCCGUUCGGGUUUGAGGCUUGAGCUUUGCCGUUCUGGGGAAGCAUAUAUCAAUCCGUCAAGCAAAUUACGGCCAGUUGCCACCAAACCCACCUAGCAAGCCUUAGCCAGUGCAAUCCGGCGCCGUUUUGUACUCCUCAGUGCUCAGUGCGAGUGUCUGAGUUUGACCAAUCUCUCUCCACUAGAAUUCAGAGAGAAGAAGAAGCAGCAAUGUUACACGAGUUGCUACUUGCACUGUUGGGCUACACCGGCGAUCUGAUAAUCGACGAGAGAGAGCAUUCCAAGUCUCUCGGCGUCGACGCUCCCAUUUCCGAUGAGCCUACUUUCAAGCUCGCUCCCGAUAUCUCCUUCAUUCAACCCAGCGAAAGGUACCCAAAAUAUUCACACUCAAACCCUCCAAAUUUCACAUAUUCCAAUUUCAUGCCCAAUCGUUUUCUGCGUUCUCUGCAGGGAUCUUAUAGAGAAGAUCACCACAUUAGGGUUUUACUAUCGGGAGCUUGACCGCUUUUCCGUCAGGUCUCGGAAUUUAAGUUGGAUAAGGUCUGCAAAUGCGAGUUCUUUGGCCUCCGACUUGUCCAAACCCAAAGCUGAAAAGCCGAGUGUGUAUCGUAGGGCAAUUGCCAAUGGCAUUGUGGAGAUACUCUCGGUCUAUAGGUCUGCUGUUCUCCACAUUGAGCAGAAAUUGUUGUCCGAAACUGUCCCCAUAUUGGCAACUGUAACUCAAGGCCUCAAUAAGGUCGGGUUUUAAGAAUGUGCAUGCUGCAUUGUUUGGUAAUCAUUUUUGUUUGUGUUUCUUAUGAUCAGUUGGUUUUUGCUAGUUUUUUGUGCUCUUGCCGCCUCUGUAUGAGCUUGUUCUGGAGAUUGAGCGCGAUGACAUUCGUGGCGGUCAGCUUCUGAACCUUUUGCACAAACGAUGCCAUUGUGGAGUGCCUGAGUUGCAAACAUGCAUUCAGAGGUAUACACCUCAUUUUUCAUGCGAAUGGAACAGUGUGUAUGAGGUGUACUUUUUUCGAAAGUAACUGUUAGGAACUGUUUGUUAUGUUUUAGUGGCAAAAUAAAUUAUAAGCUGAUUAAUUUCUAAUUUGUUUAUUGCUGUGUGUUGGUAGCAUAGGCUUCUUUGGCAUGCACAUCAGGUGCUGUAUAACCAGCUGGCAGCGUGGAUGGUAUAUGGGAUUCUUCAAGACCAGCAUGGAGAGUUUUUCAUUAGGAGGUAGUGACGGAAGAAACUCCUUUCUUAGGGGUUUGCAUAUUUGUCGAACUUCCAUAAUAUAUAAUGCCUUGUGUCUCUCCUUCUGGCAUACCCUUCCAUUUUUUAGCAACACUCAACUUAAAAUGGUUUAUAUGGUUGACUGUAUCACUUUUCAGGCCGGAAGAUAAGGAUGUAGAGCAUGGCUCAUCUCAUCGAGACAUAUCUGAAAAGUUGGCACGCAUGUCAAUGGACGAUACAUCUUUAACAGAUUGGCACUUGGGAUUUCAUAUAUAUUUGGUAUUGUUGACUUUAUCUUUUGGGAUUUCAUAUUCUCCCUUUACUUUGGCUUUAAUUUGUGGUACACCACUGCCUCAAAGAGAAACCAAACUUUGAAACUCAAAUUCUGUUACUUACGAGUUACAUUGUCUUCCCCUUUCUCUUUGUAGGAUAUGCUACCCGAGUAUAUCCAUAUGCGUGUUGCAGAAUCAAUUUUAUUUUCAGGCAAGGCCAUCCGGGUUCUUCGCAAUCCGAGCCAUGCCUUUCGGUUUCAGGAUAUUGUGUAUCAUCAACAGGUGCCUAGAGGCUCUCAGAAAGUUCAAGGAUUUUCAGGGAGAUUUCCUUUCCUCAAAGACCCUUUUGCGGAUAAAGAGUUGAUUGGAGAAGAAUUGCUUCCACAGUCUGAGGCUGAUAAGAUUGAAACUAUGCUUCUGGAACUAAAGGUUUUCUGUUUGCCCUAUGAUUACUACAUAUCUUGCUGAUAUCAUGUUUCUGGAACUAAAGGUCAUAAUAAGGUGGAUAAUGUGAUACUUGCGUUUGAUCCACUGUGCCAGAAUAUAUAGUUCUUGACAAUCUUUAUAUUUGUUUCUUUACACAAGAUAUAGCUUCUCUUUCUAAUUAAGAGUAAAUUACAUGUUCAUUAUGUGCAGGAAUCAUCUGAGUUUCACAGAAGAUCUUUUGAAUGUGCUAUCGACUCAAUUAGGGCUACUGCUGCCCGUCAUCUUUGGCAGGUGCUGAAUGUGAAAAUUUUGGUCCCUCCAUGUUAUAGAACAAAAAUUUACUAUAUUCCCUCAAUUUCUGCAGCUUGUGGUUGUACGCGCUGACUUAAAUGGCCAUCUGAAGGCACUGAAAGACUAUUUUCUUUUAGCAAAAGGAGAUUUCUUUCAGGUAAGGAUGGAAAAUAUGUAAAGAUUGCUUCCUUCUGUUUUCCAAGUACAGAAAUUUUUAAUUUUAUUCUCAUUGGGGUGAAUGCGUAUACCUUCCCCGAAUCUCUAAAUGAAUUGUCAUCGUUUGAUGACAAUUUUGUGUUCAAUAAUGAUUGGAAGGGAAAAUGCUAUUUUUGGAGUUUUUCUUAAGGUAGAUGUGCAGGAAGUACUGAUGUAGUCUUAUAUUUAGUAUAGUUUCCCAUUAAAUGAUUGUAACCUGGGAGGUUUUUUAAUUAGACAUGAUCUAUUAUGCCAGUGCUUUCUUGAAGAGAGCCGCCAGUUGAUGCGUCUACCUCCUCGCCAGUCAACUGCUGAGGCUGAUCUUAUGGUCCCAUUUCAGCUGGUAAGGUUAUUAUAAAAUGACUCCUAACAUAUUAAAUCACAGAGUUGAGAUAUUAAUUGCGUCAACAUGCCUCAUUUUUCAAUUGUCUGGAAACAAAUUAUUUAGCUCUACUUCCAAUGCAGGCUGCAAUUAAGACUAUAAGUGAGGAAGACAAGUGUUUCUCUAGAGUAUCCUUAAGG
rnacentral:lncRNA from 1 species